rnacentral:lncRNA from 1 species
GUUUAACACAUAAUCAAGAAAUAACCAUAAGUAUCAACAGUGGAACAGCCCAUGCUGCUGCUCUGCCUAUGGAGUAGCCAUUCUUUAUUCCCUUACUUUCUUAAUAAACUCGCUUUCACUUUAUGGAUUCAACUGUAAUUCUUUCUUGUGUGAGAUCCAAGAACCUUCUUGUAGGGUCUGGAUUGGGACCCUUUUCUGGUAACAUCUUCCUGGUGACCAUGAAGGGACAAUACUGAAGAGACCCCUGACCCUAAGGAAAUAGACUGCAGCACCAAUGGGCCAACUUUGGGGCGAUCAUCUUGCCCAGAAACAUCAUGUUGAAACUCUUGGUCAGAGGUUGGAUGAAAGCUGACAGGGUCCAUCCAGGAGCAAGUUUGAGCCUUGCCAGUUCCAUUUUGGGUGCUGAGUGGAGUGGCGACUAUAGCAAACCUGUGAUCUCUGGCUGCUGCUCAGAAGAAACAAGAGGGAGGGAUGAAUAAUGUAAAACUCUGGAUCAAUAUUCUAAUUCUGAGCCUCUAUUGGAAUCAGCUAGCAACCACAUAUCAGCUUGGUUUCAACAGUUUCCCAGUUCAUGCUGCUGAGAAGUUCAGAGUCAAACCUGAAUCUCACCUCUGCAAAGAGCACAGGACUCCAUGGCAAACGUUGUAUAUACGCAAGUCAUCCCUGGCACCACAUUGAUUUACUGCACCAGGCUUUCUUCAUUGUGAUGAUGUUCUCUCUCUUUUCUAAAAAAAAAAUAAAAAUAAAAUUUAAAAAAUCCUGUU